UGGGGAAUUUUCCGCAAUGGGCGAAAGCCUGACGGAGCAAUACCGCGUGAGGGAUGACGGCCUAUGGGUUGUAAACCUCUUUUCUCAGGGAGGAACUCAAUGACGUGUACCUGAGGAAUAAGCAUCGGCUAACUCCGUGCCAGCAGCCGCGGUAAGACGGAGGAUGCAAGUGUUAUCCGGAAUCACUGGGCGUAAAGCGUCUGUAGGUGGUUUAAUAAGUCAACUGUUAAAUCUUGGAGCUCAACUUCAAAAUCGCAGUCGAAACUAUUAGACUAGAGUAUAGUAGGGGUAAAGGGAAUUUCCAGUGGAGCGGUGAAAUGCGUAGAGAUUGGAAAGAACACCGAUGGCGAAGGCACUUUACUGGGCUAUUACUGACACUCAGAGACGAAAGCUAGGGUAGCAAAUGGGAUUAGAUACCCCAGUAGUCCUAGCCGUAAACAAUGGAUACUAGAUGUUGGGCAGAUCGACCUGUUCAGUAUUAAAGCUAACGCGUUAAGUAUCCCGCCUGGGAAGUAUGCGCGCAAGCGUG
rnacentral:rRNA from 1 species